rnacentral:lncRNA from 1 species
UCAUCUCCUUUGAUAAGCUUUUCCUUAUGUGUUGCCCGUUCAAGCUCCGCUGUGCUAUAGUAACUUGCAUUCAUUUGCAUUGGUGGAGAGCUGCCAUACAUGGAUGCAUAAAUUCCAAAACCAUCUUUGUUUUGAAAUGUUACCCACCUAACAUCUGCUCUACCAGAACACUCUACAGGAACAAUAUAGGGAACAUGCAUAUCACCCACAUUCUGCUCAUAGACCCCCACAUGAGCAGCUGCUUUCCGAUCUGGAUAACAUUCAAAUGGUCCUUUGCCAUACCAUUUAAUCUGAUCAAUUGUUUUUUCCAACUGAAAUUCAACCCCCACACGUGGCAAGGGUGGGAGAUCAGAGCAUGGGUGGACAUUACAUUCCAUAAUGAUGUCACCAGAACCAUAGACUGUGUAAGUUAUG